rnacentral:lncRNA from 1 species
AGUGAGUAAACAAAAGUUAUUGAUGCUUUUUCAGUCAUUUCCAGAUACGUGCCUUCUCCUUCAGUAAGUUUUCUCUUUCAACAAAGAAAAGCAUUCAAGCAAAAUCAAUGGCUAUAGUGGCCACAUCUGGCAAAGUAUGCAGAAUUUCAUAGCCAUAGCACUCCACUUCUCUACUGAAAGAGGAAGAUGCUUAAUGGAAAUCUUUUAAAGGUACUCAUUGGGAUGGUCCUUCCCCCUCAGGAAGCAUGGACAGCACAGCUCAAUCCCAGGACAGAAUCUCAAAGUUGGAAAGGAUCUCAGUGGGCUUCUAUUUCAACCUGUUCUGGGGUAGGAUUCCCCUCUACAGUGGUCCCAGCCUUUGCUUGAAGACUUCCAGUAAGGGUAAACCCAUGACCCACCAAGGAAGUUGACCGACUUUUGGACAGGUUUAAUUGUAAGGAAGUUUCUUUGGCUAUCAAAUCUAAAACUGACUUCUUUGUAACUUCUACCCAUGUCUCUUAGUUCUGCUGCCUGGCACCAAGCGAGAGAAGGCUGACCCUUCCUCCACUUGACAGCCCAUCAGAUACUUGAAGACAGCCAUUGUUGUGUCUCCUGUCUUCUCUUCUGCAGGAUAUAUGUCCUUAAUUCUUUUAAUUGACCCUCACAUGGCACGCUUGGAGGAUUUUUUGAGAACCUCGUUCUCCAGUCAUUAGAAUCUCCUUGAGAACAUAAAUAGAUCAGAGUAUUGACAUCUUUGGAAAACAGCCUCACAAUGGAGAUGAUGGGAUAUCAUGGGAAGAAGACUGAACCAAGUUCUUGUCCUGGAUCUGUCAGCAACUAGAUGGGUAACCUUGAGUAAGUCACUUAACCUCUGUCUGUAUUCAUUUACUUAGUUGUGAAAUGGAGAGAAUAAUGCCAUCCUUUAUGUAUACACGACGAUGUUGUGGGGGUCAAAAGGAAGUAAUAUAUGCAAAAGCAUGGUGAAUGCUGUUCCAGA